CAGAACUCGUCCUGCCCAAGCUGUCUGCAGUCUCAGCCAGGAAGACUCCACAGCCCUUUUAAACAGCCUGGGGGCCUUCACAGGGUUCUCCGAGUCCUCCCAAUGACACUGAGGGGGUGCACUCGACAGAUGGGGGGAGUGGGGCUCAGAGAGAUUGAGAGACCCAUGUCACCCAGGUAGCAAGCCUAUGCCUUCACAACAAUGAUCUGAGCCUCAUGUCAUACCUAUGCCUUUUUUCCUUGGACCCCCAGCUUCCCAGCAGCGUUACUCAUCCUUAGGCCAAAUUGGCAGCCUGUGGUCCAGGCUGGGCUCUUCCAGGCCCUGGCUUUGUGUAACAAAUACCUCCUUGUUUUGUGCCUUGGUUUCUCCAUCUCUAUGCCUCUAGUGUAGAGCCAUCUGGGCCUUAUGCUACUUAUAGGGCUGCUUCUUAAACUGGCUGAGGUCGUGUGUGCCCAAGAGCCUGGCAAACAGGAAAACGUUGUAUAAAUGUGUGUUGCUAUUACGGGGGUAGCGUAUGGAAAAAUCCAUAUGGUUUCCCUACCUGUAGCAAGCCUGGAGGAAGCCCCUAGGCCUGUGGCUGGUUCUAUCUUCAGGGUGACUUUGAUGGAUGUGGAUAGUUUUCCUUUUCAUAUUGACCCUAUUCUGCCAGAGCUGUUCAUCUUAGAAGCGGAGACCCAUGGGGUGUUGGAGCGGGAAGCUGCCUUAGAGAUCAAGCCCAGUGGCUUUCAAACUGGUAAAGAGUUCCAGGGUUCUGUGUCUAGGACUCUGAGGACAGCAGGUGUGGGCCCCAGCCUUCUUCCCAUCUCUAACUUCAGCCCAAGGAACUCUCCUUUUAUCUGUUCCAUAUCAUGGAGUCAUGUGAUAUUUCUUUAGAAAGGAGGGUCACGGUUGGCUCUCCAAUGUAUGUUCACACAAGAUGGCCAUCCUACUUUCCUUUUCAGUGAUUGGUUGGAAAUAGGCAUUUCUGGCCAAUGAGAGGUAAAAGGGAGUCUGAUAGGGGUUUGUGGGAAAAGUUUCCUGAUGCUAAAAAUGAAACACAAGAAAGAUGGAUUCUCUUCUCUCUUGGCUGGGAGUGUGCCUGGUUGUGAUGCAUGGUACUGUGGUACCCACGCUGUGCCCCCGAGGGAAGCCAGAAGGAGGACAGAGCUAAUCCAUGGAGAAUUGCUGAGUGCCUGAUGACAUUGCUGAGCAGCUGACCAUACCACCCCUGGAGUGAUCCUGUCUCUGGACUUUAUCAGAUGCAGCCUGGGUCCUCCUGCAAUGGAUGUGGUGCUGCCCCUGCCUGGAAGGUUCAAGCCAGGAUGGACACAUAUCACCUAGCCCGGAGAUGACCAAAUGUGUCUCAGCUGGACUCGUUCUGCAAAUGAAAUCUUAGGGAUGAAGCCCAGUGUGUAACUGAGAAGACUGGAGCUGCUAUGGGCCUGAUCCUCUCCCAUAGAAUGCUGGAGCUCUGAGAGCAGAGUUUGAAAACCACAGAUCUCAUGCCAAAUCCUCAUUUUACAGAGAAGGAAUCUGAGGCCCAAAGCAGGAAGACCGAAGGCACACCAGCAGGGCCAGAGAAAAGCUGUCACACAAAUGGGUUCAGCUUAUCUCAAUCCACACCCAUAAAUAUUUACUGCACCUGCUCGUCCUUCUGCACUAGCACAAAGUCCUGCUUGGGGCAGUGGGUGGCAGAGCCCACGGGACCUCGGUGCUAGUCUGUUGGUGAUGAAGAGGUUUUGAAGGUGAUCCUGGCUGUGCGGGCCUCUCCUGUGCUCAACGCCACCUCUGAGAGAAGGCAGUGGGAUUGGCAGUGGGGAGCUCCCAUUUUUGAACUCUGCUGCUGGAGCCUUAAGGAGGAGACAGGCCACACCUGGAGGCCUGGGCUGAGGAUAGAGUGGCUCCCAAGGAAACAAGAUGGGGGCCAGAUGGUUCCCGAUUCUAAAUCCUCCAGCCUCUGUGGUUUAGCCCUUUCAUGGUCCCCCUACCCUGUUGACCAAGGGAGUCCUUGGUGAGCUGCGUGUAGGGCAGGGUGAGAGAUCAGUGUCCUAGAAGGGAUGGUUAUGACUCAGUAGGCCCCUAGGAGUGUCCCUUGGGCACACCAUCUCCCUGGCUAGACUCAUGUCUGGGCUGGGAGUUGUCCCCUUGCCAAUGGACCCCCUGAACCUCCAUUUCUCUGGCCCCAAGGAAUGUGCUGGGUCCCAGGCCUUGUGACACCUCCGAAGGACAAGGGGCUAGUUCUCUGUUCCAGCCCCAAGAACGGCAUGGGGAGCACUGGCUUUUGUUGCAGGGGGUGGGGGUGCUCACCAGCCCAUUAGGCAGGCUAAGUGUUGUCUGCCUCCUCCACCUCUCCAUCCCCACUAGAAGCCACCAAGGAGGCUUGUUAAUUAUCUCAAUGAUUUCCACGUCGAUGGGCAGGUCUCGUUGGCCAGAAUCAAGGCUUGGGGCACUCCCCCAAUCCCAUUUACACACAGACUGAGGAGGGGGAGGGGGAGGAAUGCUAGAAACAGAAAUGAGGGAGAGAUGGCCAGGGGUGGGCAAGGGUCCCAAAGAGGAUGGGGAUGUCUACUGGCAUCUGAGGUGAGCUGGGCACGGGCCUGCAGGACGGAGUAGACUGCUAGCGGCUAGCUGCAGGCAAUGUCCUCAUCAUUAGGGGACUGAUGGAGAUAAACUGGUAUGUCUGUUGGUUUUAUAGAUUCUUCAUAGCCCUGUGCUCUGGGCCUUCUUCAGGGAGUGCCUGGCUGGAGGGGGCAGACCAGGUAAAAGGUGGGACUGCAUUGGGGUCUGGGCUGGGAGAGGGAGUAGAGAGCAAGCUGGGGUCCCAAGGCCUCACCUGACUGUGUGGAGUGGUUCAGGGAAAGGGGCUGAGGGCUGGGGACGGAUUCCUAAGGACCAUGCCACCUUGGCUAGGACAAGCUAGCAUGCAGCCAGCAAAAGGCAGAGGAAGUUGAGAAGGGAAGGAAAAGUCUCUCUUCAACACCACAGAAAGGAGAGGGAGUGGGAGAUGACACCCAGCUCAGGGGUCCUAUUUCCAGACACGUGCUUCUCGAUGGCACCUCAGUGCGUGGCUCCUGGAGACUCCACAUGGAGGGAAUCAGGAAGCUGGAGACCCAGCUCCCUAGGUUGGGCUAGGCAGGCUCUGGGCUAACAGCCACCUGAGGAGGGGCUCCCCCCCUAGCCACUGUGUCCUAGCGGCCUGGGGUCAACAAAGGGAGCUCAUUCUAAGCAUGCAGCCCUUGCUCCCAGGACUUGCAGUGGGCUGCUGUGUUUUGGCCAGGCCCGGGCUAGGGAGAUCCCUACAGUUCUGGAACAUGGUCCUUAUCCUGCCUCUGCCCCUUUGCUCCCCCAUCCAACGCCCUCCACCCAUCCCAAUCUACCACCCUUCAGGCUUGGUGUGAAUUCCCCUCCUCCCUCCAGUCUGUGCUGCAUGCUCUCUCACAUGUCCCAUGGGGUGGGAAGACAUGAAGUGGAUCUUGAAGGAUGCUAAAUUUGAUUUGGCUGUGAGAGGGAUGGCUGUUCUGUCUUUGGCUCUCUUUUCUCACCCAUCUCGAUCUCCCUGCUUCACCCUCUCCCCGGACAACACUGAUGUCCACGUUCAGACAACUCCAGGGCUCCAGCCCAGCACCUUCCCCUCCAGACCCACAUCUCUAAUGUCCAACCAGAUGCAUCAUCGUCUCCCCACGGAUUCCUGUCCACCCCCC
rnacentral:lncRNA from 1 species